rnacentral:tRNA from 1 species
GCCUUGCUAGCUCAAUCGGUAGAGCGUGUGACUCUUAACAUCACAAGGUUGGGGGUUCGAGCCCCCCGUAGGGCU